UACGUAGGGUGCAAGCGUUAAUCGGAAUUACUGGGCGUAAAGCGUGCGCAGGCGGUUAUGUAAGACAGAUGUGAAAUGCCCGGGCUUAACCUGGGAACUGCAUUUGUGACUGCAUGGCUAGAGUUUGGCAGAGGGGGGUAGAAUUCCACGUGUAGCAGUGAAAUGCGUAGGUAUGUGGAGGAACACCGAUGGCGAAGGCAGCCCCCUGGGUCAAGACUGACGCUCAUGCACGAAAGCGUGGGGAGCAAACAGG
rnacentral:rRNA from 1 species